CUUGCACUACAGCGCCGCUCUAUAAGUCGGAUGUUGUUGCGUGAGCAAAAUGCUCAUAACGUGAGUGCUGACGGGUUAACUCAAAAAAAUAAAAUUAUUUUGA